rnacentral:rRNA from 1 species
GACGAACGCUGGCGGCGUGCUUAACACAUGCAAGUCGAACGGUAAGGCCCUUCGGGGUACACGAGUGGCGAACGGGUGAGUAACACGUGGGUGAUCUGCCCUGCACUUCGGGAUAAGCCUGGGAAACUGGGUCUAUUACCGGAUAGGACUCCUGGCUUCAUGGUUGGGGGUGGAAAGCUUUUGCGGUGUGGGAUGGGCCCGCGGCCUAUCAGCUUGUUGGUGGGGUAAUGGCCUACCAAGGCGACGACGGGUAGCCGGCCUGAGAGGGUGACCGGUCACACUGGGACGGGGAUACGGCCCAGACUCCUACGGGAGGCAGCAGGGGGGAAUAUUGCACAAUGGGCGCAAGCCUGAUGCAGCGACGCCGCGUGAGGGAUGACGGCCUUCGGGUUGUAAACCUCUUUCAGCUAUGACGAAGCGCAAGUGACGGUAGUAGCAGAAGAAGGACCGGCCAACUACGUGCCAGCCGCCGCUGUAA